rnacentral:rRNA from 1 species
CUGGCGGCGUGCCUAACACAUGCAAGUCGAACGAGAAAGUGGAGCAAUCCAUGAGUAAAGUGGCGACCGGGUGAGUAACACGUGACUAACCUACCUCCGAGUGGGGAAUAACUCCGGGAAACCGGGGCUAAUACCGCAUAACAUCGCAAGAUCAAAGCAGCAAUGCGCUUGGAGAGGGGGUCGCGGCUGAUUAGCUAGUUGGCGGGGUAACGGCCCACCAAGGCGAAGAUCGGUAUCCGGCCUGAGAGGGCGCACGGACACACUGGAACUGAAACACGGUCCAGACUCCUACGGGAGGCAGCAGUGGGGAAUUUUGCGCAAUGGGGGAAACCCUGACGCAGCAACGCCGCGUGGAGGAUGAAGCCCUUUGGGGCGUAAACUCCUUUCGACUCGGACGAUAAUGACGGUACGAGUGGAAGAAGCACCGGCUAACUCUGUGCCAGCAGCCGCGGUAAUACAGAGGGUGCGAGCGUUGUUCGGAAUUAUUGGGCGUAAAGGGCGCGUANGCGGUGCGGUAAGUCACCUGUGAAAUCUCCCGGCUUA